rnacentral:pre_miRNA from 1 species
CAGGUACUCCCUCCGUCCGAAAUUACUUGUCAUCAAAAUGGAUGUGUCUAGAACUAAAAUACAUCUAGAUACAUCCAUUUCAAUGACAAGUAUUUUCGUACGGAGGGAGUAUAAG